rnacentral:rRNA from 1 species
AUUGAACGCUGGCGGCAUGCUUUACACAUGCAAGUCGAACGGCAGCACGGGUGCUUGCACCUGGUGGCGAGUGGCGGACGGGUGAGUAAUACAUCGGAACGUGUCCAGAAGAGGGGGAUAACGCAUCGAAAGAUGUGCUAAUACCGCAUAUGCUCUGAGGAGGAAAGUGGGGGAUCGAAAGACCUUACGCUUUUGGAGCGGCCGAUGUCUGAUUAGCUAGUUGGUGGGGUAAGGGCCUACCAAGGCGACGAUCAGUAGUUGGUCUGAGAGGACGACCAGCCACACUGGGACUGAGACACGGCCCAGACUCCUACGGGAGGCAGCAGUGGGGAAUUUUGGACAAUGGGCGCAAGCCUGAUCCAGCAAUGCCGCGUGAGUGAAGAAGGCC